rnacentral:rRNA from 1 species
UUAAGCGACUAAGCGUACACGGUGGAUGCCCUGGCAGUCAGAGGCGAUGAAGGACGUGCUAAUCUGCGAUAAGCGUCGGUGAGGUGAUAUGAACCGUUAUAACCGGCGAUUUCCGAAUGGGGAAACCCAGUGUGUUUCGACACACUAUCAUUAACUGAAUCCAUAGGUUAAUGAGGCGAACCGGGGGAACUGAAACAUCUAAGUACCCCGAGGAAAAGAAAUCAACCGAGAUUCCCCCAGUAGCGGCGAGCGAACGGGGAGGAGCCCAGAGCCUGAAUCAGUGUGUGUGUUAGUGGAAGCGUCUGGAAAGGCGCGCGAUACAGGGUGACAGCCCCGUACACAAAAAUGCACAUACUGUGAGCUCGAUGAGUAGGGCGGGACACGUGGUAUCCUGUCUGAAUAUGGGGGGACCAUCCUCCAAGGCUAAAUACUCCUGACUGACCGAUAGUGAACCAGUACCGUGAGGGAAAGGCGAAAAGAACCCCGGCGAGGGGAGUGAAAAAGAACCUGAAACCGUGUACGUACAAGCAGUGGGAGCCUCUUAAUGGGGUGACUGCGUACCUUUGUAUAAUGGGUCAGCGACUUAUAUUCUGUAGCAAGGUUAACCGAAUAGGGGAGCCGAAGGGAAACCGAGUCUUAACUGGGCGUUAAGUUGCAGGGUAUAGACCCGAAACCCGGUGAUCUAGCCAUGGGCAGGUUGAAGGUUGGGUAACACUAACUGGAGGACCGAACCGACUAAUGUUGAAAAAUUAGCGGAUGACUUGUGGCUGGGGGUGAAAGGCCAAUCAAACCGGGAGAUAGCUGGUUCUCCCCGAAAGCUAUUUAGGUAGCGCCUCGUGAAUUCAUCUCCGGGGGUAGAGCACUGUUUCGGCAAGGGGGUCAUCCCGACUUACCAACCCGAUGCAAACUGCGAAUACCGGAGAAUGUUAUCACGGGAGACACACGGCGGGUGCUAACGUCCGUCGUGAAGAGGGAAACAACCCAGACCGCCAGCUAAGGUCCCAAAGUCAUGGUUAAGUGGGAAACGAUGUGGGAAGGCCCAGACAGCCGUGAUGUUGGCUUAGAAGCAGCCAUCAUUUAAAGAAAGCGUAAUAGCUCACUGGUCGAGUCGGCCUGCGCGGAAGAUGUAACGGGCUAAACCAUGCACCGAAGCUGCGGCAGCGACACUAUGUGUUGUUGGGUAGGGAGCGUUCUGUAAGCCUGUGAAGGUGUACUGUGAGGUAUGCUGGAGGUAUCAGAAGUGCGAAUGCUGACAUAAGUAACGAUAAAGCGGGUGAAAAGCCCGCUCGCCGGAAGACCAAGGGUUCCUGUCCAACGUUAAUCGGGGCAGGGUGAGUCGACCCUAAGGCGAGGCCGAAAGGCGUAGUCGAUGGGAAACAGGUUAAUAUUCCUGUACUUGGUGUUACUGCGAAGGGGACGGAGAAGGCUAUGUUGGCCGGGCGACGGUUGUCCCGGUUUAAGCGUGUAGGCUGGUUUUCCGGGCAAAUCCGGAAAAUCAAGGCUGAGGCGUGAUGACGAGGCACUACGGUGCUGAAGCGACAAAUGCCCUGCUUCCGUGAAAGCCUCUAAGCAUCAGGUAACAUCAAAUCGUACCCCAAACCGACACAGGUGGUCAGGUAGAGAAUACCAAGGCGCUUGAGAGAACUCGGGUGAAGGAACUAGGCAAAAUGGUGCCGUAACUUCGGGAGAAGGCACGCUGAUAUGUAGGUGAAGCGACUUGCUCGUGGAGCUGAAAUCAGUCGAAGAUACCAGCUGGCUGCAACUGUUUAUUAAAAACACAGCACUGUGCAAACACGAAAGUGGACGUAUACGGUGUGACGCCUGCCCGGUGCCGGAAGGUUAAUUGAUGGGGUUAGCGGUAACGCGAAGCUCUUGAUCGAAGCCCCGGUAAACGGCGGCCGUAACUAUAACGGUCCUAAGGUAGCGAAAUUCCUUGUCGGGUAAGUUCCGACCUGCACGAAUGGCGUAAUGAUGGCGGGCUGUCUCCACCCGAGACUCAGUGAAAUUGAACUCGCUGUGAAGAUGCAGUGUACCCGCGGCAAGACGGAAAGACCCCGUGAACCUUUACUAUAGCUUGACACUGAACAUUGAGCCUUGAUGUGUAGGAUAGGUGGGAGGCUUUGAAGUGUGGACGCCAGUCUGCAUGGAGCCGACCUUGAAAUACCACCCUUUAAUGUUUGAUGUUCUAACGUGGGCCCCUUACCGGGGUUGCGGACAGUGUCUGGUGGGUAGUUUGACUGGGGCGGUCUCCUCCUAAAGAGUAACGGAGGAGCACGAAGGUUGGCUAAUCCUGGUCGGACAUCAGGAGGUUAGUGCAAUGGCAUAAGCCAGCUUGACUGCGAGCGUGACGGCGCGAGCAGGUGCGAAAGCAGGUCAUAGUGAUCCGGUGGUUCUGAAUGGAAGGGCCAUCGCUCAACGGAUAAAAGGUACUCCGGGGAUAACAGGCUGAUACCGCCCAAGAGUUCAUAUCGACGGCGGUGUUUGGCACCUCGAUGUCGGCUCAUCACAUCCUGGGGCUGAAGUAGGUCCCAAGGGUAUGGCUGUUCGCCAUUUAAAGUGGUACGCGAGCUGGGUUUAGAACGUCGUGAGACAGUUCGGUCCCUAUCUGCCGUGGGCGCUGGAGAACUGAGGGGGGCUGCUCCUAGUACGAGAGGACCGGAGUGGACGCAUCACUGGUGUUCGGGUUGUCAUGCCAAUGGCACUGCCCGGUAGCUAAAUGCGGAAGAGAUAAGUGCUGAAAGCAUCUAAGCACGAAACUUGCCCCGAGAUGAGUUCUCCCUGACUCCUUGAGAGUCCUGAAGGAACGUUGAAGACGACGACGUUGAUAGGCCGGGUGUGUAAGCGCAGCGAUGCGUUGAGCUAACCGGUACUAAUGAACCGUGAGGCUUAACCU